CAGGGUGACCAGUCAUCCAGGUUUGCCCAGAACUGUCUUGGUUUUAGCACUGAAAGUCCUGUGUCCUGAGCAAACAGGGGUGGUUGGUCCCCCUGACUGUGA
rnacentral:miRNA from 1 species